rnacentral:rRNA from 1 species
UACGUAGGGCGCGAGCGUUGUCCGGAAUUAUUGGGCGUAAAGGGCGCGUAGGCGGUCGUGACAAGUCACUUGUGAAAUCUCCGGGCUUAACUCGGAACGGUCAAGUGAUACUGUCGGACUAGAGUACAGAAGGGGCAACUGGAAUUCUCGGUGUAGCGGUGAAAUGCGUAGAUAUCGAGAGGAACACCUGCGGCGAAGGCGGGUUGCUGGGCUGAUACUGACGCUGAGGAACGAAAGCGUGGGGAGCGAACAGG